UGGGGAAUUUUGGACAAUGGGCGAAAGCCUGAUCCAGCAAUGCCGCGUGUGUGAAGAAGGCCUUCGGGUUGUAAAGCACUUUCGUCCGGAAAGAAAUGGCUCUGGUUAAUACCUGGGGUCGAUGACGGUACCGGAAGAAUAAGGACCGGCUAACUACGUGCCAGCAGCCGCGGUAAUACGUAGGGUCCAAGCGUUAAUCGGAAUUACUGGGCGUAAAGCGUGCGCAGGCGGUUGUGCAAGACCGAUGUGAAAUCCCCGAGCUUAACUUGGGAAUUGCAUUGGUGACUGCACGGCUAGAGUGUGUCAGAGGGGGGUAGAAUUCCACGUGUAGCAGUGAAAUGCGUAGAGAUGUGGAGGAAUACCGAUGGCGAAGGCAGCCCCCUGGGAUAACACUGACGCUCAUGCACGAAAGCGUGGGGAGCAAACAGG
rnacentral:rRNA from 1 species